AUCAUGGCUCAGGACGAACGCUGGCGGCGUGCUUAACACAUGCAAGUCGAACGAUGAACCGGUUUCGGCCGGGGAUUAGUGGCGAACGGGUGAGUAACACGUGGGCAAUCUGCCCUGCACUCUGGGAUAAGCCCGGGAAACUGGGUCUAAUACCGGAUACGACACUCCGAGGCAUCUUGGGGUGUGGAAAGUUCCGGCGGUGCAGGAUGAGCCCGCGGCCUAUCAGCUUGUUGGUGGGGUAAUGGCCUACCAAGGCGACGACGGGUAGCCGGCCUGAGAGGGUGACCGGCCACACUGGGACUGAGACACGGCCCAGACUCCUACGGGAGGCAGCAGUGGGGAAUAUUGCACAAUGGGCGAAAGCCUGAUGCAGCGACGCCGCGUGAGGGAUGACGGCCUUCGGGUUGUAAACCUCUUUCAGCAGGGAAGAAGCGAAAGUGACGGUACCUGCAGAAGAAGCACCGGCUAACUACGUGCCAGCAGCCGCGGUAAUACGUAGGGUGCGAGCGUUGUCCGGAAUUAUUGGGCGUAAAGAGCUCGUAGGCGGUUUGUCGCGUCGAUUGUGAAAGCCCGGGGCUUAACCCUGGGUCUGCAGUCGAUACGGGCAGGCUAGAGUUCGGCAGGGGAGACUGGAAUUCCUGGUGUAGCGGUGAAAUGCGCAGAUAUCAGGAGGAACACCGGUGGCGAAGGC
rnacentral:rRNA from 1 species